rnacentral:lncRNA from 1 species
CAAGACAUUGGUUGAGGAGCUUUCCAGUCAAUUGUCUUGCUCAGAAUGACAUUGGUUUUGGAAACGAUAUUUUUGGUUUUUUUAAUUUUGUUGAAUAGAGGUCACUUAAAUAUUAAUGUCUGUUCUGUUUUGCAUAUUUUUAUUGUAUUUUUCGUAAAGUUUUUUUAUUAUAAAUACUUUUAUAAAUUUUUAAAAAUUUUUAUAUUCGUUGCUCUGCCAUUUUUAAAAGGAACUGUUAAGAGUUUCCUGCUGAACUCAUAAAAGCUGGACGAAAAAUGCCGCUAUUUGUUAAAUAUUAGUACAAAAUCCUGUGGACAGAGCUCAGGACUAUAAACACACAUAAAUUAGUUAAAAGAACAAAAAAAUUUUCAUAUAAACAAUAAACAAGCAUAAACUAAUAUAAAACAUUAAAAAAUUGCAAUUAUAAAUUAUAAAUUUUUCAAUAUUUGAAAAAAGUCUUAUAAAAUAAGAGAAUAUACAGAAACACAUCGAAAAACAAUCAAAAGGGGAUCGUCUGUGAUUAUUCAUAGAUAUGGGAUAACUGAAUUAUCAAAUUACAUGUAUAUGCCAAUAUAAACAAACGUC